rnacentral:piRNA from 1 species
UCGUCACAUUCUUUUAGAUGUUUCAAAGCCC